CCUACGGGUGGCAGCAGUGGGGGAUAUUGCACAAUGGGGGAAACCCUGAUGCAGCGACGCCGCGUGUGGGAAGACGGUCCUCUGGAUUGUAAACCACUGUCCCCAGGGACGAAGAUGACGGUACCUGGGGAGGAAGCUCCGGCUCACUACGUGCCAGCAGCCGCGGUACUACGUAGGGAGCGAGCGUUGUCCGGAAUUACUGGGUGUAAAGGGAGCGUAGGCGGGACUGCAAGUUGGGUGUCAAAUCUACCGGCUCAACCGGUAGCCGCACUCAAAACUGCAGUUCUUGAGGGAAGUAGAGGCAGGCGGAAUUCCUAGUGGAGCGGUGAAAUGCGGAGAUAUUAGGAGGAACACCAGUGGCGAAGGCGGCCUGCUGGGCUUUUACUGACGCUGAGGCUCGAAAGUGUGGGGAGCAAACAGGAUUAGAUACCCCGGUAGUC
rnacentral:rRNA from 1 species